CUGCCCCAAGGAGGAGCGGCUGGCAGGAUAGGGGGACUGCGGAGGAUCGGCGUGGAAUGGAUGCGACGGUGCCAGUAAACAGGCGCCGAGGAAAGAUGAGGAAACUGAGGCCAGAGAGGGGACAAGUCAGAGGACAUGCUGAAGAAGACCUGGGAGUGGAACAGACACCCAGGAUGCAUGAAAUCAAGUCUGAUGCCCUUGCCAAGUGCUCCCCAAGUCCCUGGGGAGCCAGAAACCCAGCUUCACGGUGUUGACGAGCCAGGAGCACAUACUGUUGCGUCCCCACCCUGUCCGUUGUCCCAGAAAUGACAGAAAAUACAUUUUCGUUUGUAAUGUGGUGUCUUGAAUGGGAUCCUGGAGCAGAAAAAGGACAUUAGGUAAAGCUAAGGAAAGCCUAGUAAAGCUGGACCAUAGUUAAUCAUAGUGUAUCAAUAUUGGUCCAUCAAAGGCAACAAAUGCACCAUAUUAUAAGAUAUUAAAAUAAAGGAAACUGGGUGUGGCA